rnacentral:rRNA from 1 species
GACGAACGCUGGCGGCGUGCUUAACACAUGCAAGUCGAACGAUGAAGCCCAGCUUGCUGGCUGGAUUAGUGGCGAACGGGUGAGUAACACGUGAGUAACCUGCCCUCCACUCUGGGAUAACUCCGGGAAAACGGUGCUAAUACCGGAUAUGACUUCUGCGGGCAUCCGUGGGGGUGGAAAGAUUUAUCGGUCAGGGAUGGGCUCGCGGCCUAUCAGCUUGUUGGUGGGGUGAUGGCCUACCAAGGCGACGACGGGUAGCCGGCCUGAGAGGGCGACCGGCCACACUGGGACUGAGACACGGCCCAGACUCCUACGGGAGGCAGCAGUGGGGAAUAUUGCUCAAUGGGCGCAAGCCUGAAGCAGCGACGCCGCGUGAGGGAUGAAGGCCUUCGGGUCGUAAACCUCUGUCAGCGCCGAAGAAGCGCAAGUGACGGUAGGCGCAGAAGAAGCACCGGCUAACUACGUGCCAGCAGCCGCGGUAAUACGUAGGGUGCAAGCGUUGUCCGGAAUUAUUGGGCGUAAAGAGCUCGUAGGCGGUUUGUCGCGUCUGCUGUGAAAACUCGGGGCUUAACCCCGGGCUUGCAGUGGGUACGGGCAGGCUAGAGUGCGGUAGGGGAGACUGGAAUUCCUGGUGUAGCGGUGAAAUGCGCAGAUAUCAGGAGGAACACCGGUGGCGAAGGCGGGGUCUCUGGGCCGUAACUGACGCUGAGGAGCGAAAGCAUGGGUAGCGAACAGGAUUAGAUACCCUGG